rnacentral:rRNA from 1 species
UCGAGAAUCUUUAGCAAUGGGCGAAAGCCUGACUAUGCGACGCCGCGUGAGGGAUGAAAUCCUUCGGGAUUUAAACCUCUUUCGAUCGGGAAGAAAGACCUCGUUGAGAGGAGCUGACGGUACCGAGAGAAGAAGCCACGGCUAACUCCGUGCCAGCAGCCGCGGUAAUACGGGGGUGGCAAGCGUUACUCGGAUUUAUUGGGUGUAAAGGGCAGGUAGGCGUUCCAAAAAGUUUCAGGUGAAAUCCUUGGGCUCAACUCAAGAACUGCCUGAAAAACUGUUGGAAUUGAGGGUGAAAGAGGAGAACGGAAUUCCCGGUGUAAGGGUGAAAUCUGUAGAUAUCGGGAGGAACACCAGUGGUGAAGACGGUUCUCUGGUUCACAACUGACGCUGAACUGCGAAAGCUAGGGUAGCAAACAGA